rnacentral:rRNA from 1 species
UACAGAGGUCCCAAGCGUUGUUCGGAUUCACUGGGCGUAAAGGGUGCGUAGGUGGCCAGGUAAGUUCGGUGUGAAAGCUCGGAGCUUAACUCCGAAAUGGCAUUGAAUACUAUCUGGCUAGAGGGUCGGAGGGGAGACUGGAAUUCUCGGUGUAGCAGUGAAAUGCGUAGAUAUCGAGAGGAACACCAGUGGCGAAGGCGAGUCUCUGGACGACUCCUGACACUGAGCACGAAAGCCAGGGGAGCAAACAGG